rnacentral:rRNA from 1 species
GAUGAACGCUGGCGGUAUGCUUAACACAUGCAAGUCGAACGGACUCUUCGGAGUUAGUGGCGGACGGGUGAGUAACGCGUGAGAAUCUGGCUUUGGGUUCGGGACAACCACUGGAAACGGUGGCUAAUACCGGAUGUGCCGAGAGGUAAAAGAGAAAUUGCCUGAAGAUGAGCUCGCGUCUGAUUAGCUAGUUGGUGAGGUAAAGGCUCACCAAGGCAGCGAUCAGUAGCUGGUCUGAGAGGAUGACCAGCCACACUGGGACUGAGACACGGCCCAGACUCCUACGGGAGGCAGCAGUGGGGAAUUUUCCGCAAUGGGCGGAAGCCUGACGGAGCAAUACCGCGUGAGGGAAGAAGGCUCUUGGGUUGUAAACCUCUUUUCUUAGGGAAGAACAAAAUGACGGUACCUAAGGAAUCAGCAUCGGCUAACUCCGUG